CGGGAAUAGUUCACAAUGGGCGAAAGCCUGAUGACGCGACGCCGCGUGAGCGAAGAAGACCUUCGGGUUGUAAAGCUCUGUCAGGAGGGAAGAAGGCUCUACGGGUUAAUAGCCCGUGGAAUUGACGGUACCUCCAGAGGAAGCCCCGGCUAAAUACGUGCCAGCAGCCGCGGUAAUACGUAUGGGGCAAGCGUUGUCCGGAUUUACUGGGCGUAAAGGGCGCGUAGGCGGUUUGUUAAGUCGAAGGUGAAAUCCUCGGGCUCAACUCGAGAAUUGCCUUCGAUACUGGCAAACUAGAGUGGCGGAGAGGAAAGCGGAACUCUUGGUGUAACGGUGGAAUGUGUAGAUAUCAAGAGGAACACCGGUGGCGAAGGCGGCUUUCUGGACGCACACUGACGCUCAGGCGCGAAAGCGUGGGUAGCAAACAGGAUUAGAUACCCUGGUAGUCCACGCCAUAAACGAUGGGUACUAGGUGUCGGGGGUAUCGACCCCUCCGGUGCCGCAGUUAACGCACUAAGUACCCCGCCUGGGGAUUAUGGUCGCAAGGCUGAAACUCAAAGGAAUUGACGGGGCCCCGCACAAGCGGUGGAGCAUGUGGUUUAAUUCGACGCAACGCGAAGAACCUUACCUGGGCUUGACAUGCUUGGGACAGCGCUGGAAACAGCGUCUCUCCUUCGGGAGCCCUUGCACAGGUGCUGCAUGGCUGUCGUCAGCUCGUUUCGUGAGAUGUUGGGUUAAGUCCCGCAACGAGCGCAACCCUCGUUACUAGUUGCCAUCAGUUCGGCUGGGCACUCUAGUGAGACUGCCGGUGAUAAACCGGAGGAAGGUGAGGAUGAUGUCAAGUCAUCAUGGCCCUUACGCCCAGGGCUACACACGUGCUACAAUGGUCGGCACAAAGGGUCGCUAAGCCGCGAGGUGG
rnacentral:rRNA from 1 species